UUGGAGAUUCCAUCGUCCGGCAUGUCCGCGCUAUCGGAGACAAAGGUAAGGUGCACACUCGCUGUUUUCCUGGUGCUCGUGUUCUCGAUGUCGCUGCGCAGGUACCCGCGAUCCUGAACAAGAACUUUGCAGCGGUUGUUCUCCAUGCUGGAACGAACGACACCCGGCUGAGGCAAACGGAGAUCUUAAGGAGGGAUUUCAGGAUCCUGGUGGAGACGGUAAGCAGCACAUCACCCACAACGAGGAUCAUAGUGUCAGGACCUCUUCCCACUUCCCAUCUGACUGGGUGCUGAUCCAGCAGUCUGUGGACCUCAGAGGACUCCAGAAACCUAUAGAUCUGCCACAGAACGGCUGGAAAGAGAAGACGUGUCAGACGUACAGGGGAUAAAGUUCAGAUAUUGCUGAAUCACAGCUGCUUAAGAACAUAGGGGAUGUGAUAGCAGGAGUGCUUCCGGACCUUCCUGAUCAACUUGAUAAGUCCGUUGAAGAUACUUUAAAAACACUUGGUGCAGCAACCACAGAUGAUUUAAAGAACAUCACAGAAAACGAUUUGCUGCCAGUGUUAAAGCCCAUACAAGCACGAAGACUGGUUGCUGCCUGGACCCAAAAUAUCUCCGGGACUUCAACACCAAAAUCUGUGCAUUCAUCUCCAGUGGUUGUCUUUCCCUCUGCACCCACAAAUUCUUCUUCACCAGCAUCAUCCACCUCUACAUCAUCUUCAGGAAUCUGUACACCAUUAAUACCAAACUGCUUAGAGCGAUUUGAAAUCCCAUGGCAGAGG